CGAGGCUACCGAUUUCCCCAGAAUCUACCAUUUGACAUCGAGGAGCGGCAGCAUCCGAAGCACGUUCUUCAGCGUCUCGAAUUUUUACCAGUGUGUCUAUGGAUUGUAUCUGCACUUGCAUUUGUAUACACUGUUUCCAUGUAUUUUGCUGAUGCAUAAAUAAAAACAUUCUUUUAAUAAAGUUGAGUCACCCCUAAUAAAGAUACCCCCUGCCCUUCA